CGACUCUGGCUUAUACUAUAUGUG
rnacentral:siRNA from 1 species